CCUACGUGUGGCAGCAGUGGGGAAUAUUGCGCAAUGGGCGAAAGCCUGACGCAGCGACGCCGCGUGAGGGAUGAAGGUCUUCGGAUCGUAAACCUCUGUCAGCAGGGAAGAACGGUCACUGUGCUAAUCAGCAGUGAAUUGACGGUACCUGCAAAGGAAGCACCGGCUAACUCCGUGCCAGCAGCCGCGGUAAUACGGAGGGUGCGAGCGUUAAUCGGAAUUACUGGGCGUAAAGCGCUCGUAGGCGGUAUGUCAAGUAAAGGGUGAAAUCCCCGCGCUGAACGUGGGAACUGCCUUUGAAACUGGCAAACUGGAGUGUGUGAGAGGAUAGUGGAAUUCCAGGUGUAGGAGUGAAAUCCGUAGAUAUCUGGAGGAACAUCAGUGGCGAAGGCGACUAUCUGGCACAUAACUGACGCUGAGGAGCGAAAGCGUGGGUAGCAAACAGGAUUAGAUACCCCGGUAGUC
rnacentral:rRNA from 1 species